AGUGAACGCUGGCGGUAGGCCUAACACAUGCAAGUCGAACGGCAGCACAGUAAGAGCUUGCUCUUACGGGUGGCGAGUGGCGGACGGGUGAGGAAUACAUCGGAAUCUACUUUUUCGUGGGGGAUAACGUAGGGAAACUUACGCUAAUACCGCAUACGACCUACGGGUGAAAGCAGGGGAUCUUCGGACCUUGCGCGAUUGAAUGAGCCGAUGUCGGAUUAGCUAGUUGGCGGGGUAAAGGCCCACCAAGGCGACGAUCCGUAGCUGGUCUGAGAGGAUGAUCAGCCACACUGGAACUGAGACACGGGCCAGACUCCUACGGGAGGCAGCAGUGGGGAAUAUUGGACAAAGGGCGCAAGCCUGAUCCAGCCAUACCGCGUGGGUGAAGAAGGCCUUCGGGUUGUAAAGCCCUUUUGUUGGGAAAGAAAAGCAGCAGGUUAAUACCCCGCUGUUCUGACGGUACCCAAAGAAUAAGCACCGGCUAACUUCGUG
rnacentral:rRNA from 1 species